GACGAACGCUGGCGGCGUGCUUAACACAUGCAAGUCGAACGGAAAGGCCCUGCUUUUGUGGGGUGCUCGAGUGGCGAACGGGUGAGUAACACGUGAGUAACCUACCCUUGACUUUGGGAUAACUUCAGGAAACUGGGGCUAAUACCGGAUAGGAGCUCCUGCUGCAUGGUGGGGGUUGGAAAGUUUCGGCGGUUGGGGAUGGACUCGCGGCUUAUCAGCUUGUUGGUGGGGUAGUGGCUUACCAAGGCUUUGACGGGUAGCCGGCCUGAGAGGGUGACCGGCCACAUUGGGACUGAGAUACGGCCCAGACUCCUACGGGAGGCAGCAGUGGGGAAUAUUGCACAAUGGGCGGAAGCCCGAUGCAGCAACGCCGCGUGCGGGAUGACGGCCUUCGGGUUGUAAACCGCUUUCGCCUGUGACGAAGCGUGAGUGACGGUAAUGGGUAAAGAAGCACCGGCUAACUACGUG
rnacentral:rRNA from 1 species